rnacentral:lncRNA from 1 species
GAUAAACUGAAUUUAAAGAGGAUCCAAGGCAACAUUCUUGAGCUAAGAUGCCUGUCUUGGUAGGCCCUUGGGAAAGUUUUAGGCCUGGUGGUAUGACAUUUUUUUCUGUUACUUGGCCACAGACUUUUCUCACAUGUGAAAAGACCGUAGCUCUACGGCUCGUUUGGAGAGCAGUUUGUGAGGAGCCCAUGUCUAGCCAGGAAUUAGGAGUAAGGCAUCACUCUCUUCCUGCGAAGGUGUUGACAAGAAUAUGCUGGGUAUUGCUCAGGUUCAAACCACAUCAGUUAUCAUCAAAGAAGCAACUACUGUUGGGGAAUAUCUCCACAUCUUGUCAGGAGAGGCACCUGCCACCCAUAGACUAAACCACACUAGAACAUGAUUCUACAGGUUUCCCUCCACAUCAACUGGGUGACAGAUGACUGUCAAGUCUUUCCAUCUUCUCCAUCACCUUGCUUCUUCCUUCGCUUCUUGUUCUCACCCUCUGCCACAGGGCCACCAGCACCCUGACUGACCUGCUACAUCUGCUCCCCUGAGCCAUCCUUCCUGUUCUGAUGGUGAACCCUAACUCUCAUAUCUUAGCAGGCUAGACUGCUGGAUAAACCAUGGCUCCCCAUGGACGAAACUCCUCAGCCUGACCUAAGAGGCCCUUCACAGUCUGCUUCUAUGAGGUGGCUCCAGCUUGUCUGUCAGCAUCAUUGCUCACCCCAAGUCUUGUGAUUUUCUGUUUCCCGAGUACACCGUAUCGAUGUUAUUGAAUCCCAAUCAUUGGCAUACCAACUUCAUAUAUUAUUGUCAUGUACCUCUUGUAUUAUUAUUUGCAUAUUGUUUUUGAUUGACUGCAUUUUAACUAAAAUAAAGUCAUUUCAAAU